UAGCAAGGCUAUUGAGCAUGGAUUGUUUGGCCUAAGAGGGGGGUUAGAGAGGGGAAAGGAGAAACACACCCUCAUCCCAUACUACGCCCUCUGACCUAUGCUCUCCUUCAUCUUUCAAUUCCCCACUUCACCUGAAAUUGCCCUGUUGCGCCAAAAAUCGCCUUCGGCGAUGGUGAAGCCCAUAACCAAUCCUAACUAACAUCAAACUAACCAUUUCCUUACCCUCUAUCCUUCUAUGACCUUUGAUUAUCCUAUAACUCAACCUAAUCACUAAAAUCCUAGCCUAAUCAUAAACCCUAAAUUUUUUAGAAUUCAAAUUAAAUAUUCAUGGAGCUCAGAUUCAAGCCAUGGACUUAGGGCUUUUGCUCAGCGCGUCAUACACAAAAACAAGGUAACAAUAUCUUGAAGAACAAAUGAGGAAUCGUACUUACUCACAGAGCUGAGGAAUGCCCUGGUUAGAGUUGCAAACACGCUAAAGAUAAAGAUAAAAAAAGACCAUAUGAGAGAUGCCAAUGCUCAGGUUUUGGUAGCAGACUGGUUUGAAGUCAUGGUUUAUGGCAUAAGGUUGAACAUAAUGCAACUUUGGCAUGAAGGCAACAUGAAGAUGAAUGAAUCAUAAUUGUAAAUGGUGCAAUUGCUUGAAGAUGAAUGUAGAUGUUUGGAGAUAACUUGGAAAUAGGCCUAGGGUUAGAAGUAGGUCUUAGGAACUUGGUCAAACUUUGCUCAACUGUUUGACCAAAAGUCAAUAGUUGACCAAAAGUCAAUUGCGGAUCAAUCUUGAUUUUUUUUCAUGUAUUUUCAAUUCUGGUAUUUUUUUUGUAAUGUACUUUUGAAUAUUUGAAUGGACUUUGACUUUGUAAGGUUGACAUUCCCUUGUAACUUGUUCUUUAGGAAAUAAAGUAUUUUCCCUCCA